rnacentral:rRNA from 1 species
AUGUCUUCGCCGAGCAGAGUGGGAGGAGGAGUUCAGGUAGGUGAUUGCAGUGCUCAUAAUGAUACACCAAUUGACUCUCGUUGUCCUGGUGGUAAGGAUCAUGGUGUCGAGGGAGGACAUCAAGUGAAUUCACCGAUUGAAUCUUCUGCCAUAAGUGUGGCCCCUCCUUCUGAGGGUAAUGUUGGUGUGAGAUUUGACCAGAGACGUCCCGUCUUGUUUGAAAAACAAUCGCAGUCUGUUGAUGGUACAGAGGAAGUUACACAGGAUUGGAUGGUCUUGGAACAACUUCGUCAAUAUGAGUUGAAGCAAAGCAAGAAGAAGUUGAGGUUUGAAAGUGACUCAAAAGAGUUUGCGGAGAAGGAGAAGCAGAGGAGAGCUGCAGAUGGUGCCAAGGGUGCCAAAUUUGCUAAGGUGAAGCAGCCUUAUUUGCAGAAGAAGAGGCUGAGUACUGUUGCUGAGGAAGGCGGUACACCUCGGCGGAGUCCACGUGUUGCUGGCAUGAAGAAGAAUCUUGGCAAGAGAACUGCUGAAGCUGGUGGAAAGGAUGAUCCUCAGCGCAAGCGACUACAUGUCACUGAAGGUCCCAACUUUGAUGAUGACAACUUUGUGCUUGCUGAUUAUGUGAAGGAUGUUCAUCCUUGUAGACGCAAAGACUGUGGUUCAUCUAAGAGUCUACCCAAGCGUGCAUGCGAUGAUGUCGAUGAAGAUGUUGGUGGUGACUCUGGCGAGGAGGUGGAUGCUGCUCCAAAGAGGAAGAAGUCUAGUAAGAGCAAUGCAACUGAAGAUGAUGCUGAGGGAGAUGAUUCUCGAUUUAACAAGACCGUAUGUUUGUCGCUUCCCACUGUUUGCAAGGCUGCUUCUUUGUUGAAAGAGGCACAUUGUAGUCGUGUUCGGGAUGCUGGAUUCGGUGUUGUCUUUGAACUGUCAGUAAAGAAAAGUGUGUCACGCAUUCUUAUGUGCUAUCUGAUGGGAGUGAUUGACCCUACCACCAUGAUAAUGGACUUUGGGAAUGGCAGGGUUCUUCAAAUCAAUCGUGAUGAAGUUUAUCACAUUUUUUAUUUACCUAUGGGACGUCACACUGCACCCAUGCCUGCUGCCAGCGGACAUGAUGACUCGUUGACUACCCUUAAGGAUGAGCUUGGCUUUAGGCAUUUAAAAAGUAUAGGUGUCAAGGACUUGCUUGAGAAGUUGAAGGUGUUGGUGGAGGAAGAUGAUCAUGUGACUGUUGACCUUGCUGUAAAGGUGUUCUUCCUGAUACUUUACCGGAAUUUGCUGUGCCCCGGGCCUGCAGUUCGUUUGGGUAGAGUUGCUGCAAUGGUAGAGAACAUGGAUUAUGCGGCUAUGGCUCAGAUGGACUUUUGCCAGCUUGUUGUUGAUAAGUUGCAGGCAGCUGUGGUGAGGUGGCAAACAGAAGGCAGCAAGCAGAAUUGUGCAGAGGGUUAUGCCAUUGUCCCCCUGAUUAUGUAUGUUGACUGCUUGAAGCUUCACAAAUUUUUAGUCAUGCACAUGUUGACGCCACGUGCGUCAUACCUGACGACCAAGGACCUGAUGAAGUUGUACAAUGAGGAUGUGCUUGUGAAGGGAAAGAUUUACUUGGAAACUUAUAAAUUUGGGAAGCUACCGUGGAAGGCGUCAGGUGAUAUUGUGUACAACCGUCCUGUUGCAGUUGUACACGGCAGCUCUGAUGCGGGGCCUAGCACUCAUGCUAGGUUGAGGACAGUUGCUGGUUUUUUCCCUAUUGGCCAUGGCCCACGAGAUCAAGAUAUUGUUGCUGCUCACAAUUUUGAUUGUGGCAUGAUUGAAAGCCUGAAGAUUGCAGUGACGAAUGUUCGGUCUUCGUAUGCUCAAUUGAGACAUUCACAGGAGGAAAACUGCAGUCGGUAUGAGAAGGAUGUUGGGCAUAUUUUGGAUGAAAUGAAUCUUCAGGACGCUGGUGUUGGCGCUGAUAAUGCUGGAGUGGAAUCUUCUGGUGUCGAUGGGACUAGGGACGAUGGAGUUGGUCAGACUGGUGUUGCUGCUUGUGAUGUGCACAAAGAGUCCUACGAUGGCUCUGGAAAGGAUGAGGUCUUGGCUGAUGCAUCGUCCCCUCUAGAUGUUGUAGCUGAUAAGCUUGGAGAAGAAAACGUGGAAGUUCACGUUGAUCUGAAUCAGGGCGGUUGUGCUAUUGAUGGUGGUGGCAGUGUUGAUGCUUCUGCAUCGGUUGUCGUCGACUGUGCAGAUCCUUCUGUAGCUCAAGGAUCCCAUGAUGUUGUUUCCCCUAGUCGGCAUGAAGAUUCUGAUGUUGGCAUUGAAAAGCCACUAGAGAAUGUCGCCCCUGCUGUUAGUGUUGUUGCUUCCCCUGUUUGUCUGGCGGCCAAUGAUGUUCCUGAAGUAUCGAGAGUGGAGCCUCAUGUAGCUAAAGUAUCUAAGGACGUUGCGGUUGACCAGACUAUUGUAAAUCCAGAGAAUGCUGAUGUUGCUGCAGAAGGGCAGUCCAGUGAGGUUGUGGUGGAUUCGUCGCAACCUAGCCAAGAAAAUAUUUUGGUCAGCUCUGAAGAACAACAACCUGAAGACUCUGACACUGAAGGCAAGAGUUUUGUUUCAAAUAGUGCAGUUGAAGUUUUUCUCACAAAUAUUUGGAAUGGUGGUACUGUAGACAGGAGUGUUAAAAUGAUGUUCUCUUCAAAAGCCGAGGAGCGUGUUGAUAAAAAGGAUAUGACUUGGGAUGGUGUUCGAGUUGCUCAGUUUGGGGUGGAGCACAUUGGCUACAUCAGAAAGGCCAUGCUCUAUAGCUGGCUCACAUCGAGAAAGUGGAACGCAUUCUUUAUGGUGAAUAGUCCUUUUGGUGAUGUCGAUACUUACACUGUUAACUAUAUCUAUAAUACAUUUGGCAAAGGAGCUUUAAUGGAUUCGUAUCUCAUGGAUUUUGUCAUCAAGUACUGGAAGCAAGACCCUGAAUUGGGUUUAGUUUAUCAUUCUGGUGAACGUGUGCUACUUUCACCUUUAUUUAUCACGUACGUUCUUCAAAUGGAAACCUUUGUGGCGAGAGAUGAUGAUCAAAACCCUGUGUUGCCAGUUGUGCAUAGCCCGUUUGUUUUAGAAGAUGCAGUUAAGCAGUUCAAGGUUUUUGUGAGCGACGAUGCAAACCUGUUGGAUGCAAAACUGUCUGCUGUUGAAGAUUGGAAGGCGGAGUACAUGUUCCAGUUGCUGUUCAAUCCUUUGAACAUGUUGUGUUAUGAAGACAUGCCGCUUGAUCUACGAGAUCUGAUUGCGGACCUCGGGCUCACUUCCCUGUCGCAAUCGCAGACGCAGUAA